GCGGCACCAGCAUCGGAUAAUUGGAGUCUUCAUGAGGUGGAUGUACGAGAUUACGCGAAUACAUAUUAAAUUGCCUUGGAAAAGUUAAAAAUAUUGCAACAAAAGGAAUAUGCGUUUUCUACGGACAAUGAAGAAACCAUAAACAGAAGGCAAGAUGUUCUGAAAAAACAAUACCGCUUGAAUAAAGGGCGUUUUGUAAAUCAGAAUAACGUCGAUCAGCAGUUGUCGGAAUGUAACAUAAAUUUAGGCAAUAAGUCGCGCAAUGCUUCAAUGUUUAAUGUCUUAAAGACAGUGAACUUGUGAAGUGUUUAUAUGGUAUAAUGACAACUGAAUCAAUUAAAAAUCCGCAGUUGAGCC